UGCAGUCGAGCGGACAGAAGGGAGCUUGCUCCCGGAAGUCAGCGGCGGACGGGUGAGUAACACGUGGGCAACCUGCCCCUUAGACUGGGAUAACUUCGGGAAACCGAAGCUAAUACCGGAUAACACUUUUUCCUACCUGGGAGAAAGUUAAAAGAUGGCCUUUGUGCUAUCACUAGGGGAUGGGCCCGCGGCGCAUUAGCUAGUUGGUAAGGUAAUGGCUUACCAAGGCGACGAUGCGUAGCCGACCUGAGAGGGUGAUCGGCCACACUGGGACUGAGACACGGCCCAGACUCCUACGGGAGGCAGCAGUAGGGAAUCUUCCGCAAUGGACGAAAGUCUGACGGAGCAAUGCCGCGUGAGUGAGGAAGGCCUUCGGGUCGUAAAGCUCUGUUGUGAGGGAAGAACAAGUAUCGGUUGAAUAAGCCGGUACCUUGACGGUACCUCACCAGAAAGCCACGGCUAACUACGUGCCAGCAGCCGCGGUAAUACGUAGGUGGCAAGCGUUGUCCGGAAUUAUUGGGCGU
rnacentral:rRNA from 2 species